UACGGAGGGAGCUAGCGUUAUUCGGAAUUACUGGGCGUAAAGCGCACGUAGGCGGCUUUGUAAGUUAGAGGUGAAAGCCUGGAGCUCAACUCCAGAAUUGCCUUUAAGACUGCAUCGCUUGAAUCCAGGAGAGGUGAGUGGAAUUCCGAGUGUAGAGGUGAAACUCGAUAGAUAUUCGGAAGAACACCAGUGGCGAAGGCGGCUCACUGGACUGGUAUUGACGCGUGAUGGAGCGAAAAGCUAGGGGAGCAAACGGG
rnacentral:rRNA from 1 species